rnacentral:rRNA from 1 species
CCCUUAGAUGUUCUGGGCUGCACGCGUGCUACAAUGGCGCUUGCAACAAGUCUUGCCAACCCGAUAGGGUGAGCGGAUCUUUGAAGAGGCGUCGUGAUCGGGACAGUUGAUUGCAAUUAUUCGACUCGAACGAGGAAUUCCUUGUAAUCGCGAUUCAUCAUAUCGCGCUGAAUACGUCCCUGCCCUUUGUACACACCGCCCGUCGCUCCUACCGAUUGAGCGAUCCGGUGAGGCUUUGGGAUCUGAGCGGAAAGAGCGUUUCGCUGUUUCUGCUCGGAAAACUCAGUCGAACCUUAUCAUUUAGAGGAAGGAGAAGUCGUAACA